GAUGAACGCUGACAGAAUGCUUAACACAUGCAAGUCUACUUGAAUUUGGGUUUUUUAACUUAGAUUUGGGUGGCGGACGGGUGAGUAACGCGUAAAGAACUUGCCUCACAGCUAGGGACAACAUUUGGAAACGAAUGCUAAUACCUGAUAUUAUGAUUAUAAUGCAUCUUAGAAUUAUGAAAGCUAUAUGCGCUGUGAGAGAGCUUUGCGUCCCAUUAGCUAGUUGGAGAGGUAACGGCUCACCAAGGCGAUGAUGGGUAGCCGGCCUGAGAGGGUGAACGGCCACAAGGGGACUGAGACACGGCCCUUACUCCUACGGGAGGCAGCAGUGGGGAAUAUUGGACAAUGGACCAAGAGUCUGAUCCAGCAAUUCUGUGUGCACGAUGACGUUUUUCGGAAUGUAAAGUGCUUUCAGUUGGGAAGAAAAAAAUGACGGUACCAACAGAAGAAGUGACGGCUAAAUACGUG
rnacentral:rRNA from 1 species